GUUUAUGACGUCGAAUAUCGACGUCAUAAACACCUAAGUUGAUCGUGUUUAUGACGUGGAAUAUCGACGUCAUAAACACCUUAGUUGGUCGUGUUUAUGACGUGGAAUAUCGACGUCAUAAACACCUAAGUUGAUCGUGUUGAUGACGUCGAAUAUCGACGUCAUAAAC
rnacentral:miRNA from 1 species